GAUGAACGCUAGCUACAGGCUUAACACAUGCAAGUCGAGGGGCAGCAUGAACUUAGCUUGCUAAGUUUGAUGGCGACCGGCGCACGGGUGAGUAACACGUAUCCAACCUGCCGAUGACUCGGGGAUAGCCUUUCGAAAGAAAGAUUAAUACCCGAUGGCAUAGUUCUUCCGCAUGGUAGAACUAUUAAAGAAUUUCGGUCAUCGAUGGGGAUGCGUUCCAUUAGGUUGUUGGCGGGGUAACGGCCCACCAAGCCUUCGAUGGAUAGGGGUUCUGAGAGGAAGGUCCCCCACAUUGGAACUGAGACACGGUCCAAACUCCUACGGGAGGCAGCAGUGAGGAAUAUUGGUCAAUGGACGAGAGUCUGAACCAACCAAGUAGCGUGAAGGAUGACUGCCCUAUGGGUUGUAAACUUCUUUUAUACGGGAAUAAAGUGAGGCACGUGUGCCUUUUUGUAUGUACCGUAUGAAUAAGGAUCGGCUAACUCCGUG
rnacentral:rRNA from 1 species